rnacentral:rRNA from 1 species
GACGAACGCUGGCGGCGUGCUUAACACAUGCAAGUCGAACGGAAAGGCCCUGCUUUUGUGGGGUGCUCGAGUGGCGAACGGGUGAGUAACACGUGAGUAACCUGCCCUUGACUUUGGGAUAACUUCAGGAAACUGGGGUUAAUACCGGAUAGGAGCUCCUGCUGCAUGGUGGGGGUUGGAAAGUUUCGGCGGUUGGGGAUGGACUCGCGGCUUAUCAGCUUGUUGGUGGGGUAGUGGCUUACCAAGGCUUUGACGGGUAGCCGGCCUGAGAGGGUGACCGGCCACAUUGGGACUGAGAUACGGCCCAGACUCCUACGGGAGGCAGCAGUGGGGAAUAUUGCACAAUGGGCGGAAGCCUGAUGCAGCAACGCCGCGUGCGGGAUGACGGCCUUCGGGUGGUAAACCGCUUUCGCCUGUGACGAAGCGUGAGUGACGGGAAUGGGUAAAGAAGCACCGGCGAACUACGU